UUUUUUUUCACAAUUUUGCAACCUUUUAUUUUAGCACAAAAUCAAACAUGCAUUUCAACAAACCAACUAGCAUUUACAUCAAACUUUACUUAAUACUUCAUUGCUGUAUAAUCUCCCACCUCCUAUGGCCAUCCAGGACAAUCUUUUUGCAACAUGACCUCAUAACUCAUGUUUUUCAGGUUUGUUUUGGUGUUAUCUUUUCAUUUUUAUCCUAUUUUAUAUCAUUAUGUCCUAAUUUAAUAUAUUUUUUGGAUAUUUUCUAAUUAUUAAAUUGUUUUUGUAUAAACUUUUAAGAUUAUUUAUCUUUUAGAAAAAUAUUUUAACGUUUUAAUUUUUUUAUAUAUUGAUGUAC